ensembl:lncRNA
GAUCAAAGGGGAGAAUAAAAAUGUUCACAUUGUUACACAAAAUUUCAAACGAUAUUACAAAUAAAUGUUGCAAACAAGCGUUUGAACAGUAGUGUAUGCUAUAGAGUUCAUGUGUGUUUGUUGCGGCAGAGGUGACGUGAAGGUGCAUCUGUCAGCCUGAGGGGGCAGUCUAUCUACAUCUGACAUCAGCAGGUCAUAAACUCUGACCUCUUGACCUCUCUCUGGUCAUAUCACACAGCACUCAUCAGCUUCAGACAUGCACACAAACACACACCACCAUGUCUGAACCGACUAGCUCAUGAAGAACUCCUAGAAAAACCUGGGAGCUGGUCUUCUACACAGAGUUUUCUAGCUUCACUUUUACCUUUCAUUGUUGAGUGUAUGCACUUUAGAUAUGCUGAUGUGUUAUUUCGCAGAUGUGUUAAUGAGCUGCUUGGCUCUAAUGGUGGUGCUCUGAUGUUAUGGUUGGUGUUUGCAUCCAUAUGAGGAAAGAGAGAGCGCUGGUUUCCAUGCUGAAUGACUGCCGUUCAAGGGCGAUUUGGAGACGGUGCUGCUCUCCCUGAAAAUGAACCAUCACCACCUGACACAUUCAAACAGAGACGUUUAGAGCAGCGCUGAGAGGAGCCGCUGUUCUCACACACUGUAUGUCAUGGCCAGAACGGCUUUGUACGAUCAGCUGCCUUGUAGAGUGCUGUUGUGUGUUCACAUGCUCACAAACACACACUCUCACACAUUUGAAGCAAAGCUUUCUGCUGAAUAACACAGCUAUAGUAUAGAUUGGUCUCUUUUUGAUCGUGAAUCCUGUAAACAAGUUUCCACCAAAAUGCUAAAUAAUGUUAGUUAUUACUGAACAAUCAUAAUGUAUUGGAUACCCUUCAAGUAUAAAAUAAAACAAUAUGAAAUUAUAUUUUCUAUAAAGAAAACAAAGCCAAUUUAAGGACCAUUGACAUUUUCAAGGACAACAGAUAUUGAAUUAUCCAAAAAGAGAAAAGAAAAGGAAAAGAAAAGAAAGAAAGAAACAAUGCUGUUUUAGUUUAAACAAUAUUUUGUUUUUCUGAAAAAUCAGUAUAAUAAAAUAGAACCAC